rnacentral:rRNA from 1 species
ACUUUCCAAUUUAAUUAGAUUUUUUGUAUAAUUAGUUUUAUUUGAAAUAUAAAAUGUUUAUUAUCGUUAGAGAAUAAAUUGAUUUAUUUAUAGGGAAUAGUAUAGAGAUAGAAAAUUUUAGAGUUUUAUAAAGAAAGAUUGAUUUUCUGUACCUUGUGUAUCAGGGUUUACUAAAAAAAGUUAACUAUUUAGUUUUCUCGAAUUAUGAAGAGCUAUAAGUUUAUGAUGGUUAAUGUAUCAUAAUUAUGUUUAAUGAACUUAUAGAAAUGAAAUGUUAUUCGUUUCAUAAUAUAUCUAGUUUUCUAAGAAAUAAAUAUAAUUUAGUUCUUAUUUAUUAUUAAUAUGAUUAUUUAUAUUAAUGUUAAUAAGUUAAAAUAGUUAUAGGGAUGAGCUUAUAAUUAAAUUACUAAAAUUUAAUAUAUUAAGAUAAUAAGUAGGAUUAGAAUUUUCCAUUUUUAAGAGGAUGUUAUAAUUAAUUAUCUUAUAAGAAUUAUUUAUUAAGAAUUUAGAUUAUGUAUUAGAAUGUAUUUUUUAAUUUAAUAUAAAUAGUAAUAAUGGUAUAAUUAGUAAAUGUAAAUGUAGAGUAAUGAAAAAGGUUAGGUUAAUUUAAGGAAUUCGGCAAUAUAAAAUUUCUCACCUGUUUAAUAAAAACAUGGCUUUUUGUUAAUUUUUUAAGGUUUGGCCUGCUCCAUGAUUGUAAUUAAAUAGCCGCAGUAUAUUGACUGUGCAAAGGUAGCAUAAUCAUUAGUUUUUUAAUUGAAAGCUGGAAUGAAGGGUCGGAUGAGGAAAUUACUGUCUCAAAUUAAUUUUUAUUGAAUUUUAUCUUUAAGUCAAAAAGCUUAAAUUUUAUAGAAAGACGAGAAGACCCUAUAGAGUUUAAUAGAAUGAUAUAUAAAGGGAUUUAGGUUUUGAGUCUUUUAUAUAGAUUUCUAUUUGGUUGGGGUGACAAGAGAAUUGAAUGAACUUCUUUAUAUGAAUACAUAGAUUAAUGAAUAUUUGAUCCUUUAUUUAAGAUUAAAAGAAUAAAUUACCUUAGGGAUAACAGCGUUAUUCUUUCAGAGAGUUCUAAUCGAUGAAAGAGAUUGCGACCUCGAUGUUGGAUUAAAGUUGAUUCCUGGUGUAGAAGCUAGGAUAUUGAGUCUGUUCGACUUUUAAAACUUUACAUGAUCUGAGUUUAAACCGGCGUGAGCCAGGUUGGUUUCUAUCUUUUAUAUGAUUAAAUAUUUUAGUACGAAAGGACCAAAUAUUUAAAUAAAAUUUUAUCUUUUGAAUAUUAUU